UACAGAGGGUGCGAGCGUUAAUCGGAAUUACUGGGCGUAAAGCGUGCGUAGACGGUUAUUUAAGUCGGGUGUGAAAGCCCCGGGCUCAACCUGGGAAUUGCAUUCGAGACUGAAUAGCUAGGGUACGGUAGAGGGAAGCGGAAUUCCUGGUGUAGCGGUGAAAUGCGCAGAUAAUCAGGAGGAACACCGGUGGCGAAGGCGGUUCUCUGGGCCUGAUGACUGACGUGGA
rnacentral:rRNA from 1 species